AGAGUUUGAUCCUGGCUCAGGAUGAACGCUAGCGGCAGGCUUAACACAUGCAAGUCGAGGGGCAGCGGGGAGGAAGCUUGCUUUCUCCGCCGGCGACCGGCGCACGGGUGAGUAACACGUAUGCAACCUGCCCCUGUCAGGGGGACAACCCGCCGAAAGGCGGGCUAAACCCGCGUACAUGCCACCGGGGCAUCCCGGAGGCAGGAAAGGCUUCGGCCGGACAGGGAUGGGCAUGCGGCGCAUUAGGCAGUAGGCGGGGUAACGGCCCACCUAACCGACGAUGCGUAGGGGUUCUGAGAGGAAGGUCCCCCACACUGGUACUGAGACACGGACCAGACUCCUACGGGAGGCAGCAGUGAGGAAUAUUGGUCAAUGGUCGGGAGACUGAACCAGCCAAGCCGCGUGAGGGAGGAAGGUACAGAGUAUCGUAAACCUCUUUUGUCAGGGAACAAAGGCGGGGACGUGUCCCCGGAUGAGUGUACCCGAAGAAAAAGCAUCGGCUAACUCCGUGCCAGCAGCCGCGAUAAUACGGAGGAUGCGAGCGUUAUCCGGAUUUAUUGGGUUUAAAGGGUGCGCAGGCGGUCUGUUAAGUCAGCGGUCAAAGCCCGGGGCUCAACCCCGGCCCGCCGUUGAAACUGGCAGUCUCGAGUUGGAGAGAAGUAUGCGGAAUGCGCGGUGUAGCGGUGAAAUGCAUAGAUAUCGCGCAGAACUCCGAUUGCGAAGGCAGCAUGCCGGCUCCACACUGACGCUGAGGCACGAAAGCGUGGGUAUCGAACAGGAUUAGAUACCCUGGUAGUCCACGCAGUAAACGAUGAAUGCUGGCUGUCCGGGGGGACUGACCCCUGGGUGGCGAAGCGAAAGCGAUAAGCAUUCCACCUGGGGAGUACGCCGGCAACGGUGAAACUCAAAGGAAUUGACGGGGGCCCGCACAAGCGGAGGAACAUGUGGUUUAAUUCGAUGAUACGCGAGGAACCUUACCCGGGCUCAAACGGGGAGUGGCGCAGGCAGAGACGCCUGUUUCCCACGGGACACUCCCCGAGGUGCUGCAUGGUUGUCGUCAGCUCGUGCCGUGAGGUGUCGGCUUAAGUGCCAUAACGAGCGCAACCCCCGCGUGCAGUUGCUAACAGUCAACGCUGAGGACUCUGCACGGACUGCCGGCGCAAGCCGCGAGGAAGGCGGGGAUGACGUCAAAUCAGCACGGCCCUUACGUCCGGGGCGACACACGUGUUACAAUGGGUGGUACAGCGGGAAGCCAGGCGGCGACGCCGAGCGGAACCCGAAAUCCACUCUCAGUUCGGAUCGGAGUCUGCAACCCGACUCCGUGAAGCUGGAUUCGCUAGUAAUCGCGCAUCAGCCAUGGCGCGGUGAAUACGUUCCCGGGCCUUGCACUCACCGCCCGUCAAG
rnacentral:rRNA from 1 species